rnacentral:rRNA from 1 species
CCGGUACUCGUUAAGGCUGAGCUGUGAUGGGGAGAAGACAUUGUGUCUUCGAGUCGUUGAUUUCACACUGCCGAGAAAAGCCUCUAGAUAGAAAAUAGGUGCCCGUACCGCAAACCGACACAGGUAGUCAAGAUGAGAAUUCUAAGGUGAGCGAGCGAACUCUCGUUAAGGAACUCGGCAAAAUGACCCCGUAACUUCGGGAGAAGGGGUGCUCUUUAGGGUUAACGCCCAGAAGAGCCGCAGUGAAUAGGCCCAAGCGACUGUUUAUCAAAAACACAGGUCUCUGCUAAACCGUAAGGUGAUGUAUAGGGGCUGACGCCUGCCCGGUGCUGGAAGGUUAAGAGGAGUGGUUAGCUUCUGCGAAGCUACGAAUCGAAGCCCCAGUAAACGGCGGCCGUAACUAUAACGGUCCUAAGGUAGCGAAAUUCCUUGUCGGGUAAGUUCCGACCCGCACGAAAGGCGUAACGAUUUGGGCACUGUCUCAACGAGAGACUCGGUGAAAUCAUAGUACCUGUGAAGAUGCAGGUUACCCGCGACAGGACGGAAAGACCCCGUGGAGCUUUACUGUAGCCUGAUAUUGAAAUUCGGCACAGCUUGUACAGGAUAGGUAGGAGCCUUUGAAACGUGAGCGCUAGCUUACGUGGAGGCGCUGGUGGGAUACUACCCUAGCUG